GGCUGGCCUGAUGGUAUUAAGUUAUCUCAACUGAUUGUUCAAUCAGUUACAGAUGGAACUCCUUGUUCCACUCUUUCCUCCCCUUCUACUACUACACUUGACUAGUCUUAA
ensembl:Y_RNA Y_RNA Y RNA